UUGGCAUCUUUGCUCAGCGCUGUUUCCAUCACGUGUGAGCCAUUCCUCACCCUCCUGGGCUUACCUUACACUUGAACAGGCUGCAUUGUUUUCCUAAGCUGCUGUGUCCCAGUACCUCCCAGGGUGACUUUUGUGGUAGCAAUGGGCUGACUCGUAGCUCUAGAGGCUUGAAACCUGAAGUCAAAGUAUCAGCAAGUUGAUGGCCUUUCAGGCCUGUCAGGGAAGGGUCUGAUAUGUCCAAGACCUUGUGCCUUGGCUUUUAGGGGGCUGUUCCCUGCAUGGCUCUUCACAUCACAUUUCUUCUGUGUGUAUCCGUCAAUGAAUUUCCCCUCUUUAAGGAGACAACUUAAGUUGGAGUCAGUACCAACCCUGGUAGACUCAUUUUAACUUGGUCAUCUUUGAAGAGAUGAUAUCUUUACAGAAGGUCUCAUUCUGAGCUCUUAAGGGUUAGGGAUUCAAUAUGUGCAGUUUGGAGGGACAUGAUUCAGCCCAUAACACUAGCUAGUCAUGAUUAUACUUUGUUUCUGAAGUGUUGAGGCCUUUCUGCACUGUAGGCCGAGGGCUCCUCCCUCUUCUGAACAAUGCAACUGUAUUUAUACAUUCAUUUGAAAAAACGACAAACUUAAAGGUGAUGGCAUCUCUUUGAACAAUACCAUGCAUAUAUCCACAUCUGUGUAGACACAUAGCCAUGUGUCCUUCCCAAACAGAGCCUGAGCUUUGGAGAGAGCUGUGUGGCUUAUUGAUCUUAUGACACUCACACUGUCCAUGACAUAUAUCUUCAGUAAAUAUUUAUUGAUUUACCUACAGAAAAUUUGAUAGUUUAGUUUAGAAAAGAGAGCAGAAAAUAUUUAAAAAGCGUAAAAAAACUCUGCUAUUUUCUAUCAUUGGCUGAAAGAUACUGUCGAUACUUUUAUGUGGGGAGGAGCCUGCUUUAUGAGUCCGGUUUUUUCAUGGAACUCAGGCUGGCUUCACACUUACAAUGAUCCUUCUGUCUCAGUCUCCUGAGCACUGGGAUUACAGCUGUCCUCCCAUGACAGGUUCCGGCAGUGCCUUUGUUGGCGAGAAUCUGAGAGGAUGUUUUCAAGUGACUGUCAUGAAAUGCCCUGAGCCAGUCAAAGAAGAGGAGGGGAGGAGAAGAAGCAAAGCAGGACCCUAGAUGUUCAGACUAGUUACUCUACAAGUGGGGGGAGGCAAGGCCGACAGCAUUGCAACAUCCCCACCUUUGCUACCUCCAGCCCCAAACGCCAGCGAUAGUGUGGGACGGGAGAGGGCUUAUCAAGCUCACCCAGCCGUCCUGACUGAGAAACUGCCAACGUCUCGCGUGGCCUUGAAUCGCCCUCUUCUCGUUUCCAGUUAGUCUUCUGCUGUCGAGCUCGGAAGCUCUAGUCACUUCUACACCGGCAGUGCGUGGGUUAAUGAUUAAUAAAGGACCGUUUGUGUGGUUAGAGAAGCAUUGCCUUCGUAGCCCUGGAGAAGCGUCUCCACGUACAUUAUAAAUUCUGGAAUACCUGAGCGCCAUCCCUCCAAAGAGGAAUGCACCCAAGCCUUCCAGAUAGUAACACAGUUGAACCAGCUGCUAACAAUAAACCUCCUUUACACGGAAAUAGUACAAUAUUUUAGCACCUGUACUUUGUCUACUUUAUGUGGCUCACUGGUUAGUCCCCACUCCUUCCCAAUCCAGGUGUCCCAUAUGCCUCUGCCGCUUUACCACAUGCAUGUGACAUUCCUUUUGUUUUCGCUUCAUUUCUUAUUAUCUUGCCUGAGUCCGGGUCAUAUCACCCGGCUCUUCCGGGUGCUGAUGCUGGGCGAGACUGGAGCCUGCUCAAGCUUUAUCCCAUAGGUGGGGCUUUCCAUGGCUCUUUUAGCUCAGUGACCCUGCCAUUCUCGCCCCCUCCCUCGUGGCUCCUAGGACCCAGGAAUGGCUACCUCCUCUGCCGCCAUUCCUGAGUGCUUACCAAGUAUUAUGUUAAUCUGUUGCUUUCGCUUUGCAGCUGCUAUACUCCACAAAGGCAGAGGAAUCCUCGGGCCUCAGAUGCUUGUCCGAGUGGGCUGCCUUUCCCUCUCAGAACUCUGAAAUGUGGGGUCAGGCUUACGGCCUCUAAACUUCUGGAGCAGCUGGGGGUUAUUUUUGAAGUAGGGGCAUUAAAGAAGCAGCAAGCGCAGUUGUCCAGGCCUUUCCUCCGUGUGGGGCUGUACAGGAGGUCAAAGGUUAAGGGGGAGCUAGACUCUCUGAGUUUGCUUCCCAGGGAAGUGAGCUAGGUUGGCAUGAGUCUGACUGAUGUACUUUUGCAAAGUUUAUUUUAUUUGUUCUUCCUUUCCAGCCUCGAAGUUAGUUCCCAAGAGGCUGUGGGUAUGGAUUACCUCAGUGUCAAUCACUAAGCUGUUCAAAGAACUCUUACUAUUUGACUUUCAAGAAUAAAUUCAAGGAGAUGGAGAGACAGUUUGGUCAUUAAGAGUUCUUGCUCACUGCUCUUCCAGAGGACCUGAAUCCAGUUCCUAGUAUCCACCUUGGGUGGGUAGUUCACAAUCUCCUGUAACUCCAGCGCCAGAGGGGUCACUUAAGUGCACAUAGUCAUGUGUAUAAAGGCAAACUUAUACACAUAAUGAAAAAUUAUAAAAAUAAAUCUUAAAAAAUAAUGUAUUUGAGCCAAUGACUUUUCUCCAACCUAUAUUAUGUAGGUUGUGGACAUUCCUGUUUUUCUAAAUGAGGACUCUUAUAUACAGGCAUCAUAAACUUUUGUUCGUGGGUAGACAUGAUACCUCUUUUAUGUAUCUUUCUAUCUUUGCGUGAUAAUCUGUGUCAACACUAUAAGAAGGGAAUUGCGAUCCAUAUUAUAACAUUAUGUUUUAUGACUGUGAGCAAGAACUAAAAAAUCAACAACUAGAGAAACUUAAAUGAGAGCCUUUAAGAAAAAAAAAAUCUAUUUUGUGAACCAGUACAGGAAAUGCUGUCUCAACAGGUUUUUCAUGUUUGUGUUUCUUCUUCGAGAAUUUCAUACAAUAUAUUUUUUACCAUAUUCUUUCUCUUUCCCAACUCCUUACAGAUCCCUCCACCUUCCUACCUGCCAACGUGAUGUUCUUUCCUUAAAAUACAAACCGAAAUGAAAUAAUGCCACGAACACAAAAACAAACAACCAAACAUGGAGUCUAACUUGUGUGUCACCCCCCCCCCACUCCUGAGCAUGGGGCCUGUCAUUGAAUGUGGUCACUAUAUCCAGUGUCAUUCUCUUGAAUGAAAACGGACUUUUCCUCUCCCAGCAGCUAUCAGUUUCCAGUAGCUUCUAGCGCAGAGGUGGGACUUCGUGCCAACUUCCCGGGAGGUUCUUGUGCUAGGAUUUUGUCUGGCUUGAAUCUAUGAAGGUCUUGCGCAUGCUGUCCCAGUCUCUGAGUUUGUGUGUACUGCAGUCCCACUAUGUCUGAGAAGUGCUGCUCUGAAAGCCCACUCGCUGCCUGUUAGCAAGAACCUUGUCUUCUCUCGUUAUUCUUAGCUGCAAUGGAGGCCGGGGAGCAACAGCGUCAUCUGCCUCGGGCUGUGGAUGGACCUGGACAGUAGAGGACAACCAGCAAUCAUUGUCACAAAGAUUCUGAUAGGAGUAGAUUUGGGGAAACACCUGGUAGGAUAAAGAAUGGCCGUUCCAAAUAUGCAAACUGAAGGCCAUUCUAGAAGCACAAAUCUCUAUUCAGAUCUAUAAGCAAAGAUAAAUUUACAUAUGUCAAUAGCUAUGUAAUAUCAUUACUCAUUAAGUCAACUACGCAAAGUAAGGAAUGUGUGGGGAAAAUGUUAAAGCUGUUACGGUAACUAGUGUGACUUGUUCUGGAACGUUUCCUUCAGGAUUGCUGUAAUCCUCAGAGCUGUUAAUUUGGCCAGUGACCGUGAGUUGAUCAACCAGAAGCUUAGACGUUGAAAUGGCUGAAGUCUCCAGACUACCGGUUGCCAGAACAAUUUCAUCUUACUGCUAGGAAUCAGCGCCCCAUGGGCGACCAAGGCUGCAUCUCCUCUUACAGAGAAGUAGGCUACAUGACUGACCACUGAAGUCCCAGCAAACUGUUAAGCUUGGUGUGUGUGUAGGAGCACAGAGGCCCAGACAGGCACAGGCUGGAGAUCUAGCCACAGAUGUUAGAAAUGAGGCACCAGAUGAAGUCAGGCACAUAAGGAAGAAUUUGGGGUACUCUAAUAGACCAUCUGUCUCUUGAAGGAUUUCGGUUCCACGCAACAGAAGUCAAAGUCUACUUUUGGAUUUUUUUAGGCUAACUUUUAAAAUGAGAUAUAACAUAUUAUACAUUUUAUUCUUUUUUAUUAUGUACAAAGUAAGUAAUUUUGAAGAAAAUGGUAUCGUUUAUUUUGCCUGGAGGUCCUGAACCAUCACCGUCUACGGCCUCUAGCUUGAUUAGCAACCCAUGUACUAGAAAGAUGUCUAUUGGUGGCGGUUUGAAAAUAUGUUAACUUUUAAAAAGAGUUAUUUCAAAAGUUAAGACAUUUAAAGCAUUUGAAAUUGGGGGCUGCAGGGAUGACUCAGUGGUUAAGAAUUUUUGAUGCCUUUGUGAAGACUCUGAGUUCAGUUCUCAGCAUCCAUGCGGUUCACAAACUGCUUGUAACAUUUCAAGCAGGGAAUCCAACUCCUUUCUCAGGUCUCCCUGGGUACCAGACAUUUGCAUGAUGCACAGACAUUCCUGCAAACAAAACACUCAAACACACAAAAUAAAAAUCAAAUUUAAAUUAAAAAUUUUUGAUUGUAUUAUCUAAAACAUAAAAUGAAAUAUCAAUCAAGAAAACUCUUUUAUCAAAAUCCCUUUUUCUUCAAUUAUUCGUAAUGCCUUUUGGGUUUUUUGGUAAAACUGAGUUUCCUGUGUUGCACUUGGAAAUAGCCUAAAGUUAUUUUUCACUAACCAUUCUAAGACAGGGUGAUUAUUAAUGAGGCUAUUUAAUUUCAUUUGAAAACCAAAAGAAUAGGAAGCUGUCACGUAGUCACAAAUAUCUUCUCAGAGAUGCAGAACUUUUUUCCCAUCCCAGAUAUUAAGUGAGUGUCUGCUAAUUGACAACCCACUCAGUUUUCCUGUCCAGUUUCAUAUUUGUCCUUUUUAUACUUUCAGCAGCGCUGAAGAACAAAAUCUCCUCUAUCAUGCACCGUGGAGGAAGUAUCUGUAGCUCAAAUGCGAGGCCCCCUCACAAGCCUGCAGUCGGGAAGAAGUUGCACGCUAUCUCUGUGGUGACUUGUGAGUUUCUCAUCCAUCAGACCGAACAGUAUGGCCUUAAUCACAUGGUGGUUUCAAGGUUGGAUUCUAGAUCUGGGAAUGUGAAGAGAAGAUACCUGUUCUGUCUGUUAUGGAAACCACCCAUAAUCUCCAUUGCACAGAUCACUGCCUCCAUCUGUGCACACCAAGGAAAAUGGCUAGUAAGCAAUUAAGUGACCGGAACACUUAAAUGAAACAUGCCUUGGAAUGUACUGGAACAGAAGGCUUGAGUCUAAAUGACAACAGAGUCCACUCUGUCAUGGGUGGUGACCAAGACGGCAGAGGCGCAAGCUGUUCCUCCAUUUCAGGCCCAAACUGAGAUAACAGGACAGAGGUGGGUGAUGCUGAGCCAGAUGGAGGGCACAGAUACAAGAUAGGAGAGCAUAUUUGCCACACAUGUCUAACCACAGGGAGUGAGCCAUCUCUGGGGGCAUUUUAUAAUCAUCUGCCUUCUGCCAGUAAGAGAUGGGACUCAGUGAAGCCUUGUUCCUUCAGACGUAAGCAGCUAUAUGACCACAAGGUGACCGUGAAUAUUGAUGAUCUAAAUGAUACCCAGGCCUCAGCCUGCUAACAAAGUCAGAACUUAAGUUAAAAACAUUUAAGUUACCCCUCGAGUUCCUAGAUAACCCUGUGAGUUCAUAAACCAGAGUUAAUCUCUCUGUGUACUCCCGUAAUGUUUGAUAUUUAGAUCCUGCCAUAUUUAACUUGGAAUGCUAAAAUGUAAGCCCACUGAAAGCAGAUCUCUAAUCUUUUUCAGCCCUCAUACUGUUUGGUAAGACAGAUGAGCAGUUCAUAUUACACCCAAGACUAGCUCUGUGAUUUGCAGAGUUUAAUACAGAAUAAACAUGUAGCAUCUAUAUUCAAAAUACAACAUACAGAGCUUUUUUUCUUAAAGGAUGCCUUAUUACUUUAAAAAUAAACAGUAUUAAUAGUGAUGAAUAAGAAACAACAUGCUUAUACAUUGGGAAAACAAAGUUGGUCCCAUAAUUUUAUGUAAUUAACACAAACAAGUUGAUGUCUUUUGAUUGUUCACAAGAUACAUUUUGCCUCAAUUUCUUGCAAAUUUGUUAAGCUACUAAAUUUAUACUUUUAGCAACUUCAUUCUUAUAUACAAAAUGAUGCUAGUUAUGACAUAUUUAAGACUGAAAAUAAUUUUAAAUUUUGAGAGAAACCUGCUAAUACAGUUGUUAUUAUAUUUAAGAGCAUUUUAUAUUCUGUGAUUGCAUUAGGAUAGAUUUCUGAUAAUUUCAAAAU